GAUGAACGCUGGCGGCGUGCCUAAUACAUGCAAGUAGAACGCUGAAGCUUGGUGCUUGCACCGAGCGGAUGAGUUGCGAACGGGUGAGUAACGCGUAGGUAACCUGCCUCUUAGCGGGGGAUAACUAUUGGAAACGAUAGCUAAUACCGCAUAAAAGUCGAUACCGCAUGAUAUUGAUUUGAAAGGUGCAAAUGCAUCACUAAGAGAUGGACCUGCGUUGUAUUAGCUAGUUGGUGAGGUAACGGCUCACCAAGGCGACGAUACAUAGCCGACCUGAGAGGGUGAUCGGCCACACUGGGACUGAGACACGGCCCAGACUCCUACGGGAGGCAGCAGUAGGGAAUCUUCGGCAAUGGGGGCAACCCUGACCGAGCAACGCCGCGUGAGUGAAGAAGGUUUUCGGAUCGUAAAGCUCUGUUGUAAGAGAAGAACGAGUGUGAGAGUGGAAAGUUCACACUGUGACGGUAACUUACCAGAAAGGGACGGCUAACUACGUG
rnacentral:rRNA from 1 species